CGCUUUCGGGCGGGGAUUAGUGGCGAACGGGUGAGUAACACGUGGGCAAUCUGCCCUGCACUCUGGGACAAGCCCUGGAAACGGGGUCUAAUACCGGAUAUGACCGUCUGCCGCAUGGUGGAUGGUGUAAAGCUCCGGCGGUGCAGGAUGAGCCCGCGGCCUAUCAGCUUGUUGGUGAGGUAGUGGCUCACCAAGGCGACGACGGGUAGCCGGCCUGAGAGGGCGACCGGCCACACUGGGACUGAGACACGGCCCAGACUCCUACGGGAGGCAGCAGUGGGGAAUAUUGCACAAUGGGCGAAAGCCUGAUGCAGCGACGCCGCGUGAGGGAUGACGGCCUUCGGGUUGUAAACCUCUUUCAGCAGGGAAGAAGCGAAAGUGACGGUACCUGCAGAAGAAGCGCCGGCUAACUACGUGCCAGCAGCCGCGGUAAUACGUAGGGCGCAAGCGUUGUCCGGAAUUAUUGGGCGUAAAGAGCUCGUAGGCGGCUUGUCACGUCGGUUGUGAAAGCCCGGGGCUUAACCCCGGGUCUGCAGUCGAUACGGGCAGGCUAGAGUUCGGUAGGGGAGAUCGGAAUUCCUGGUGUAGCGGUGAAAUGCGCAGAUAUCAGGAGGAACACCGGUGGCGAAGGCGGAUCUCUGGGCCGAUACUGACGCUGAGGAGCGAAAGCGUGGGGAGCGAACAGGAUUAGAUACCCUGGUAGUCCACGCCGUAAACGGUGGGCACUAGGUGUGGGCAACAUUCCACGUU
rnacentral:rRNA from 1 species